UACGGAGGGUGCAAGCGUUAUCCGGAUUCACUGGGUUUAAAGGGUGCGUAGGUGGGCUGGUAAGUCAGUGGUGAAAUCUCCAGGCUUAACUUGGAAACUGCCAUUGAUACUAUCAGUCUUGAAUACCGUGGAGGUCAGCGGAAUAUGUCAUGUAGCGGUGAAAUGCUUAGAUAUGACAUAGAACACCAAUUGCGAAGGCAGCCGGCUACACGAAUAUUGACACUGAUGCACGAAAGCGUGGGGAUCAAACAGG
rnacentral:rRNA from 1 species